CCUACGGGAGGCAGCAGUGGGGAAUUUUGGACAAUGGGCGCAAGCCUGAUCCAGCAAUGCCGCGUGAGUGAAGAAGGCCUUCGGGUUGUAAAGCUCUUUUGUCAGGGAAGAAACGGUGGGAGCUAAUAUCUCCUGCUAAUGACGGUACCUGAAGAAUAAGCACCGGCUAACUACGUGCCAGCAGCCGCGGUAAUACGUAGGGUGCAAGCGUUAAUCGGAAUUACUGGGCGUAAAGCGUGCGCAGGCGGUUUUGUAAGACUGUCGUGAAAUCCCCGGGCUCAACCUGGGAAUGGCGAUGGUGACUGCAAGGCUAGAGUUUGGCAGAGGGGGGUAGAAUUCCACGUGUAGCAGUGAAAUGCGUAGAUAUGUGGAGGAACACCGAUGGCGAAGGCAGCCCCCUGGGUCAAAACUGACGCUCAUGCACGAAAGCGUGGGGAGCAAACAGGAUUAGAUACCCUGGUAGUCCACGCCCUAAACGAUGUCUGCUAGUUGUCGGGUCUUAAUUGACUUGGUAACGCAGCUAACGCGUGAAGUAGACCGCCUGGGGAGUACGGUCGCAAGAUUAAAACUCAAAAUGAAAUUGACGG
rnacentral:rRNA from 1 species